GAUACCCUGGGUAGUCCACGCAGUAAACGAUGAAUACUAGCUGUCCGGGGCGAAUGGGCCCUGGGUGGCACAGCGAAAGCGUUAAGUAUUCCACCUGGGGAGUACGCCGGCAACGGUGAAACUCAAAGGAAUUGACGGGGGCCCGCACAAGCGGAGGAACAUGUGGUUUAAUUCGAUGAUACGCGAGGAACCUUACCCGGGCUCAAACGACACAGGAACGGUCCUGAAAGGGGUCGGCUCUACGGAGCCUGUGUCGAGGUGCUGCAUGGUUGUCGUCAGCUCGUGCCGUGAGGUGUCGGCUUAAGUGCCAUAACGAGCGCAACCCCCAUCGACAGUUGCUAACAGGUUAGGCUGAGGACUCUGUCGAGACUGCCGGCGCAAGCUGCGAGGAAGGCGGGGAUGACGUCAAAUCAGCACGGCCCUUACGUCCGGGGCGACACACGUGUUACAAUGGCAGGUACAGCGGGAAGCCACCUGGCGACAGGGAGCGGAACCCGAAAGCCUGUCUCAGUUCGGAUUGGAGUCUGCAACCCGACUCCAUGAAGCUGGAUUCGCUAGUAAUCGCGCAUCAGCCACGGCGCGGUGAAUACGUUCCCGGGCCUUGUACACACCGCCCGUCAAGCCAUGGAAGCCGGGGGUGCCUGAAGUGCGUGAGCGCGAGCAGCGCCCUAGGGUAAAACCGGUGACUGGGGCUAAGUCGUAACAAGGUACC
rnacentral:rRNA from 1 species